rnacentral:rRNA from 1 species
UGAGGAAUAUUGGUCAAUGGACGAGAGUCUGAACCAGCCAUGCCGCGUGAAGGAUGAAGGCGUUCUGCGUCGUAAACUUCUUUUACCAGGGAAGAAACCUGAAUAUUCUUAUUCAGCCGACGGUACCUGAGGAAUAAGCACCGGCUAACUCCGUGCCAGCAGCCGCGGUAAUACGGAGGGUGCAAGCGUUAUCCGGAUUUACUGGGUUUAAAGGGUGUGUAGGCGGACAUUUAAGUCAGAGGUGAAAUCCCGGGGCUCAACCCCGGAACUGCCCCUGAUACUAUUUGUCUUGAAUACUGAUGAGGUGGGCGGAACGGGUCAUGUAGCGGUGAAAUGCUUAGAGAUGACCCGGAACACCGAUUGCGAAGGCAGCUCACUGGGCAGUUAUUGACGCUGAGGCACGAAAGCGUGGGGAUCAAACAG